AACGAACGCUGGCGGCAUGCCUAACACAUGCAAGUCGAACGAGACCUUCGGGUCUAGUGGCGCACGGGUGCGUAACGCGUGGGAAACUGCCCUUGGGUUCGGAAUAACAGUUAGAAAUGACUGCUAAUACCGGAUAAUGUCUUCGGACCAAAGAUUUAUCGCCCAGGGAUGAGCCCGCGUAGGAUUAGCUAGUUGGUGAGGUAAAGGCUCACCAAGGCGACGAUCCUUAGCUGGUCUGAGAAGAUGAUCAGCCACACUGGGACUGAGACACGGCCCAGACUCCUACGGGAGGCAGCAGUGGGGAAUAUUGCGCAAUGGGCGAAAGCCUGACGCAGCGACGCCGCGUGGGUGAUGGAAGGCCUUCGGGUC
rnacentral:rRNA from 1 species